GAGGGAGCAGGCGGUGGGGCCCUGUCGGUCUGCCCGCCCGGCUGAGGCUCUCUGGCUCCUUCAGGCGGCAGGGCUGGGGCCCAGGGGCUGGGCAGGUGGGGACAAGCAGGAAGGUGAGGUGGGAGGGCUGAGGAGUCCAGCCUGCAAACCCUGCUUUAUUGUGCCACCUAAAGGCCGACACAGCCCAUGACAGACAGACGCGGCCUCUCCUCCUCCGCGGGAGCCCCGGGGCCUCGGCCAGGGCGGGCGGGCGGGCAGGGGGAUGGCGGAGCUUUCUCGCAGGCUCGUUGGGUAAACGGUCCUUUGGCUCUGGGUGCUUCAGAGGGACACGGGGGUGCUGCAGGGAGGGUGUGCCUGAAGGGCACGAGGACCAGACCGCGACAGCAGUCAGACUGGUAAGAGAAGGCCUCGGUGAGCACCCAUGUGCCCAGGCCGUGUGGGGUGCCGUACCGACAAGGGUGCGGACCCCCGAUGGGUGUGGGGGUCCUCCCUCCUCCCUGCCCCAGGCUCCAGGCUCCUGCCGGCCUUGGCGGGCUCGCCGUGCCUCUCAACCAGGGCUUCUGCUAUUGUAGAGCUGAGCUCCAUCCAGCCUCAGGGGGAGGCAGAGGGCACCCUGGUGUCCACACCAGUGCCCUGGUUGAGGCAGCUUAUCAGGGGCUCCGCAGCGAGGAGCCCAGGGCCUGGCUCACUGGGAUGAACAAGCAAGAACACAGGAGCCCCGGACCGCAGACACGACCACCCGUACCUAGCCGCCGACACGCACAGGGACGUGCCGAGGACUGCGUGAAAACAGACCACGGGGUUCUAGCCGUGCCCGCCAGCCACCGGAAGCCAUCAGGCAAACGACGGAGGAAGCACAGAAGAGGCCGAGGAGAUGACGACAGAUACAGAGAGCAGCUUCUAAAGAGCUCGGCAUUCCAGAGGCUGGGGUGUGCCUCCGAGAGCGGAGGAGCCUCAGCAUCUGAUCUUCCAGGAAAAAGCCAGGCCUGCGGCCACAGGGGAUGACAGCCGAGACACGUCUGCAGGAAGGCGAGAGCGGCGAAUCCACAGCGCGGGCCAAUCGAUGGCAGGCGCUGGAGGCCGUCCUGGGGGCACGGCAGGGGACAGGGGACAGGGAGCGAGGACAGUGAUUCAUGCCGCUGAGCCUGCCAGCACCGAGGGGGAGGACAGGCGCUCGCCUUGGCUGGGACAAAAUAUUAUUCUUAAAAGUCUACGGAAGAAAACAACAAUAAAACAACUCAGGCUC